rnacentral:snRNA from 1 species
GUGCUUGCUUCGACAGCACAUAUACUAAAAUUGGAAUGGUACAGAGAAGAUCAGCAUGGCCCCUGAGCAAGGCUGACAUGCAAAUUUGUGAAGCGUUCCAUAUUUUU